GGGAGUAUAGCUGACUGGUAGAGCAUUCGACUGCAGAUCGAGAGGUCUCCGGUUCCCAAAACCCGGGUGCCUUUCU
rnacentral:tRNA from 1 species